GUGGGGAAUCUUGCGCAAUGGGCGAAAGCCUGACGCAGCCAUGCCGCGUGGAUGAUGAAGGUCUUAGGAUUGUAAAAUCCUUUCACCGGUGAAGAUAAUGACGGUACCCGGAGAAGAAGCUCCGGCUAACUUCGUGCCAGCAGCCGCGGUAAUACGAAGGGGGCUAGCGUUGCUCGGAAUUACUGGGCGUAAAGGGCGCGCAGGCGGACAGCUUAGUCAGAGGUGAAAGCCCAGGGCUCAACCUUGGAAUUGCCUUUGAUACUGGCUGUCUUGAGUUUGGGAGAGGAGAGUGGAACUCCGAGUGUAGAGGUGAAAUUCGUAGAUAUUCGGAAGAACACCAGUGGCGAAGGCGACUCACUGGCCCAAUACUGACGCUGAGGCGCGAAAGCGUGGGGAGCAAACAGGAUUAGAUACCCGUGUAGUCC
rnacentral:rRNA from 1 species